rnacentral:rRNA from 1 species
UAGUCCACGCCGUAAACGAUGUCAACUAGCUGUUGGGAUUUAUCUUAGUAGCGAAGCUAACGCGAUAAGUUGACCGCCUGGGGAGUACGCGCGCAAGCGUAAAACUCAAAGGAAUUGACGGGGCCCGCACAAGCGGUGGAGCAUGUGGUUUAAUUCGAUGCAACGCGAAGAACCUUACCAGGCCUUGACAUCCUGAGAACUUUCUAGAGAUAGAUUGGUGCCUUCGGGAAUUCAGUGACAGGUGCUGCAUGGCUGUCGUCAGCUCGUGUCGUGAGAUGUUGGGUUAAGUCCCGCAACGAGCGCAACCCUUGUCCUUAGUUGCCAGCACGUUAUGGUGGGAACUCUAAGGAGACUGCCGGUGACAAACCGGGNGGAAGGUGGGGAUGACGUCAAGUCCUCAUGGGCCUUUAUGCUCAGGGGCUACACACGUGCUACAAUGGGGCUGUACAAAGGGUUGCAACACUGCGAGGGUGAAGCCAAUCCC